rnacentral:rRNA from 1 species
ACAUGCAAGUCGAGGGGCAGCAUCAUCAAAGCUUGCUUUGAUGGAUGGCGACCGGCGCACGGGUGAGUAACACGUAUCCAACCUGCCGACAACACUGGGAUAGCCUUUCGAAAGAAAGAUUAAUACCGGAUGGCAUAAUUAUUCCGCAUGGGAUAAUUAUUAAAGAAUUUCGGUUGUCGAUGGGGAUGCGUUCCAUUAGGCAGUUGGCGGGGUAACGGCCCACCAAACCUACGAUGGAUAGGGGUUCUGAGAGGAAGGUCCCCCACAUUGGAACUGAGACACGGUCCAAACUCCUACGGGAGGCAGCAGUGAGGAAUAUUGGUCAAUGGACGAGAGUCUGAACCAGCCAAGUAGCGUGAAGGAUGACUGCCCUAUGGGUUGUAAACUUCUUUUAUACGGGAAUAAAGUGAGCCACGUGUGGCUUUUUGUAUGUACCGUAUGAAUAAGGAUCGGCUAACUCCGUGCCAGCAGCCGCGGUAAUACGGAGGAUCCGAGCGUUAUCCGGAUUUAUUGGGUUUAAAGGGAGCGUAGGCGGGUUAUUAAGUCAGUUGUGAAAGUUUGCGGCUCAACCGUAAAAUUGCAGUUGAUACUGGCGACCUUGAGUGCAACAGAGGUAGGCGGAAUUCGUGGUGUAGCGGUGAAAUGCUUAGAUAUCACGAAGAACUCCGAUUGCGAAGGCAGCUUGCUGGACUGUAACUGACGCUGAUGCUCGAAAGUGUGGGUAUCAAACAGGAUUAGAUACCCUGGUAGUCCACACAGUAAACGAUGAAUACUCGCUGUUUGCGAUAUACAGUAAGCGGCCAAGCGAAAGCGUUAAGUAUUCCACCUGGGGAGUACGCCGGCAACGGUGAAACUCAAAGGAAUUGACGGGGGCCCGCACAAGCGGAGGAACAUGUGGUUUAAUUCGAUGAUACGCGA